GACCGCGUAGCUCAGUUGGCAGAGCAUUGGGCUAGUAUCCCAAAGGUCGCGGGUUCGAUUCCCACCGUGGCCA